AAGAUAUUUUUAAGAUGUUUCUUCAACCCAACGUCCUCCACCAAUAUAAGGGAGAGAAACUUUGCUAUUUUAUACAAUUUGGUCCCUUUUUUUUUUGUUCCAUUCGCCUAUUUCAACUUAAAUUCUUGAGAUUUUCCAUAUACACCCAAGAGUAAAAAUGUAGAGAUUUUAAAAAGCACAUUCAACAAUUUAGAAGUAAGAAAUAAGUGAGAGAAACUAAAGAAAAGUGGAGGAAAAGACUGACUUGUAGCUGACAUUUGGAGAAGAAAUUUAAAGGAAGUGUCAGGAGUGUCGCGGCAUGCAAGCAUGGCACUACGGUGCGUAAAAAACCAAGAGCAGGGUGCUAAGGACGUGCCGGCAGAAGCACGCUAAGGAGAAGCUGCAGCGUGCGAGCUGCUUAGCAUGCUUGACGGAGGCUGCAGCCGGCGGAUGGGGAGUUGUGGCAUGCAUUAUGCAGAGGGAAGGACUAUAGCGCUCUCACCUGUUAAGUGUGUAGAUUAUUUUUUUAACUAUAAAUUCUUUUCUUCAACUCCAGUUUUCUCCUUUUUUUUAAAAAAAAGAAAAGAAAAAAAGAAAUGAAUAAAAACAUACUAUAGAAUCUACUUUUAACCCA